GCGGCUCUAGAUUUGCUUUUGAGGCAUAAUUACUUGUUGUAAUCACCGCUAUUGCCAUCGCUCAUGGUCUUGGUUGGUCUUGGUUGGCAUUGUUUGUGGCUCGAAGCUGACUCUUCCUACGUUGUGGAUUUGCUCCAACGUCGGUCUAUGGAUGUUCCAUGGCAUUUUCUUAUUUGUUGGAAAGAAACUUUGGCCCGUCUCCAAGACCUUACUUUUCGUGUGUCUCACAUUUACAGGUAGAGGAACACGGUGGCGGAUAUUAUGGCGCACCCUUCUCGUCAAGAAGACUGGUAGUCGAACAUCAUAUAUGUUAUUGAGGUUAUUGUGAUUAACGACAUGGUUUCUCAUGGCCAUACUCGUCGUAUUUGAUGCAUGGGGUGCUUCUUGUUUCGUUUUGUUCUUUUUUCAAACACCUAGAGUGCAGCUAUUGGAGAUGAUUUCUUGCUACUACGUUCUUGCUUUGGCUUUAUCUUGGUUUCGUUCGGUGCCUUUUUCAAACACAUAGCAUUUAGGCGGGAGUUGCUGGGCUUCUUGCUACUGCUGGGCGAUGGUCGGUGUUCUCAGCGUGACCCACGCUGGACAUGGCAUUGUUGGAGAGGAGCCUGCUCUUCCCUCCAUGUUUGGUUUUUGGGUGGUGUUUUUGGCGUUUUGUGUUGCUUGUUGUUUGUCGGCUGGGGCUUCCCCCUUUCCAUGCUUUGUGUAAUCGUUUUGUUUGUUUGUGUCCGGGUUGUGAAGGGCAAUGGUUAGGUUGGAGUUCCUAAAGGGUUCUCUCUCGCUUUCACUCCUGUUUCUUUCCUCCUUUGUCUUGUGAGACAGGUACUCUUUUUUCACUUUAAGCUCUUUCCCUCUGAGUUUUGCUUAAAGUGGUUUUAACGAGGCUCGGCCCUUAGUUUGCUCUUUGUGCUCUCAAGGGUUUUAGUUUGAUUCUCUUUUUCUCUUUUUUAUAUAAAACUUAAAUUUAAUUAUUUAAAUAAGUCAAAGCCUGCUUGACCCAACUGAAGAGAUCCAGCUGGAGUCCCAGACUGAUGGAAAAUUUUCAGCCUGAAGGAUUAGUAAUGUAGCUGAGUUGAUCGGGGUUUGUGCCAAAGCCACAUAACACGAGGACUUUGUUGUACUCAAUGUUAAGCUAAUGGAGCAGACUGACAGAAAGACAACAUGCUGACCCGUGCUCAGCUUCACUCAUGCCAUGUCAGCCCUUUGGUCGAUAGGCUCAAAGCAAAGUUAACCCCUAAAGCAUAUAUUUUUUCUGACAUUAAAUGCUUCUGAAUAUGUAUUAAAUUUGAAUCGCACUUUUCAGAUGUAAGUACAAGGAUGACUGUUGGACAUCAACAUCAGUACAGAUGUGUUGAUCUAUCAUCCCAAUCAUUCUUUGCUACAACGGAAAGAAUUGAAAGAGAAUAACAAUUAGAAAUUUGAAAAAUGCUCAGGCUAAAUUCAUUAUUUAGUUUAUAUACAUCGAAAGAACCAAACACAUGGUUGUGGUGAUGGUAAACAUGAAGUUGUUAUGUAUUGUUAAGAUAAAUCAUUAGCAACCAACAAACUAUCAUGAAUAGAAACUAGAUUUACAUUGUAAAUUUCAACUUCAUAACUUGUGAAUAUAUUUGUAGUUCCUAAACUAGGCGUUUUCAAUGUAAGGGGCCGUUUGAUUUGCAGUUUAGGAUUGAUUAGGAUUAAAAUUAUCUUGAGAAAUUAGUGUGGAUUUAUAUUAUUUCAUGGGUGUUUGAUAUCAUGGCUACUUAAUCUUAUAUUGUGUUUGAUAUCCAUAGGAUUAUGUUGGAUUAUAUUAUCUAAUACCAAAACUAUCCUCGUAUAAUUUUAAAAAUAUCAUGUGUGUCCACCAUUACUUGGGCAUUUGCAUCGAUAUGUGUGAGGAAUGGUAGCAGAAUUUUUAUCCAACUUCGCAGUAUUAUAGUUAUCCGAAGGGGGGAGGGGGGCAGAUUAUUAGUAUGGGUUAUUCCCACAAAAUAGCAUGUAGAAGUGGGAUUAAGUAGGAGUUGACCACAUUAAUAGAACAUGAUAUCAAACAUCACACUAACCUGUAUUAAUUUAAUUUAUCCUACCUAUAAACUCAUAUCAAACAGGCCCUAAACAUCCUAACCUUAGCUAGGAAUGGCAAUGGAUAUUGGACCCAGCCCACAUCCGUGGAUUCAGAUCCGUUUUUCAAGAACUGGAUCUCAAAAUUUUGACCCGAUGGAUGUGGGCUAGAUUUGGAUCUCAAUUUAUAAAACGGAUCUGGAUCCGAAUCUUGAAUUUUUAGAUUCGGUUCGGCCCCAAAUCUGACUCGUGGACCCAUUUUUUAAUAUAUAUUAUUAUAUUUUAUAUUUACUUUUUUUAAUAAUAUAAAACAUAAAGUUAAAUAUUAAAAAUCAACAAUAAUACUAAUACUUUACACAAUAUAAAUAUCAAACAUAAAUACAAAUAUAUAAAAUAUAAACAAAUAUUAAAAAUCAAUAUAGCAUUAGAUCCGCGGAUCUGACAAAUAUUGAUCUGGAUCACAAAUUUUCAGACCCGUCGAAUUUGGGUUGGAUCUAGAUCUCUAAAAAUAAAAAGGAUCUGAAUCUAAUACUUAUAAGAUCCAAUUUAAAUUCGACCCAUUGUCAUCCCCGGCCCUAGCACUGAACAAACUUAUACCCCUUUUCAUUAUAGCUAAGUUAAGAGACAUUUUGAACUUAGAAGUUAUGCUAAUUCACGUCGGAUAAAGAAAAUGAUUUAUUUUAAAUUCCAACAAAAUGAUUUACUAAGCCACUGAAAUUUAUUUACAGUUCACAUAAUUCAAUCUUGAGUGAUUUUAAUUGUCAAAUCCUCACUCACCUCACUCACAUUUCCAUCAAAAGCUACACUCCUACAUUUAACUGUUUUUAGCCAUAUACUUGGCACUUGGCUGACCAAUCUCCAAGUUCCAGCAAAUUUCAUUCACAAGGUUCCUAGCUUAACUCAUUCCAAUUACAAUCUUUUUCUCAAGUACUCCCUCUGUCCCACUCCAAAUGUUCCAUUUUCUAUUUUGGGUUGUCCCACUCCAAAUGUCUCAUUCCUUUUUGUACAAUACACUCUCUCUCUAUACUUAAUAUUUAAAUAAUUUCCAACAACCCACUUUAUCUACUUUAUACCCACUUUAUCUACUUUAUACAAAUUUCUUAAUCUCCGUGUCCAAAAGAAAUGAGACAUUUGGAGCGAGACGGNACCGGCGAACUCUCGGUGAGCUUCAGGCCCCCGACAACCCAUUAGCUCGGGUGUCCAAUUCCACAGGGCACCGGAGCCGUGUUGUGGAGGAGCGCGGGGACGAGGAGGAUGUACCUAGACAGCCUCGUACGACUCGCAGUCACAGUGUCCGGGGCCCUGUGAGGGAUGCUCGACAGCACGAGCCGGCUCGUCAUUCAGUAGAUCCGGGCUCGCGCCCUGUGAGGGAUGCUCGACCCCACGAGCCGGCUCGUCAUUCAGUAGAUCUGGGCAAGCGCCCAGCGCCGCAUACUUCUUCAUCGUCGAGCGGAUCUCGGACUGUAUCCAGUCCCAGCGAGGGUGAGUUGGUCUAGCUGAAAUACUCGACAUUCGCAUUUUUUCUUCUCUAGAUCCACCUUGAAGCUUCUGUCAGCAGUUUGCACCUUAUACUUCAUGCCACUCAACCUUUGUGCAGUGUAUCGACGACUUUUUUGGACUUCAAUAGCUACCCUUUUACCAGCCUCAACAGUCAAGCCUUGCUCGAUUUGUUGUGCAGCCCUUAGUCGCUCGCUGAACCAUUUCUCAAUAACAAUUCUGAUUGCCUCUAACAUCGAGCAUAUAGGAAGUCUUCUUGCCCACAACAAUCUGGAAUUAAAAGCUUCAGCAGCAUUUGAUGUCAUAAAUGUUGAUUUGCUCGAUAUGCACCAUAUCGAGUAGAUACGGACGAGAAGAUGUCAGAGCUGUUUUGCUCUGGACUAAACAAGAGAUACGAGUUGUCUUGGCGAGUCAGAGUGCGCUGUCAUAUGCUGAAGCUUUAAAUCGAGCACUGGAUAUGGAACUGGCAAUGCAGCCAGAAAAGACGAGUCAAAUUUCUGUACCUCAGUCGAACCCGAACCCUCAAAGGGGAAAUCAACCUUUUUUCAGGACAGGGACAGAAACCAUUGAGACAUUUCAAGUGGGACGUAGUGCGUCCGUCCCACUCCAAAUGUUCCAUUUUCUAUUUUGGGUUGUCCCACUCCAAAUGUCUCAUUCCUUUUUUGACAAUACACUCUCUCUCUAUACUUAAUAUUUAAAUAAUUUCCAACAACCCACUUUAUCUACUUUAUACCCACUUUAUCUACUUUAUACAAAUUUCUUAAUCUCCGUGUCCAAAAGAAAUGAGACAUUUGGAGCGAGACGGAGGGAGUAUUAUUUAUGCAAAACUUCAAUUGGAGAACCCACACAUACAUCAUCCCAUACAUUUGUAUAACAGUUUAUUUAUAUCAAUAGUCAUGCACACAACUGUGUAUACUUAUGAAUGAAAGCAUGAUUUAUGUAAAAAAAAAAGAGAAGUUGAGUUGAAGCUUUGAUUUUUAACCUUUAUUUUUUAACCGCGAUGUCUGAGUCGGGUUGCGGCCUCUGUUUGUGUUGGUGUGUCUUGGUGGAGUCGGUNGUCU
rnacentral:lncRNA from 1 species